rnacentral:lncRNA from 1 species
UUUAUUAUUUCAACAUUCUUUUCCUUUUAUCAAACCAAUUUUAUAAUUCACUUAUUAGAAACUACUGGUUCUGAGAAAGCCUCCCCUUUUUAAAUUGGGAUAAGUUUAAAUACUCCCCGCAAUUUAACAAUUUUUUACUUUAGUAUUCUAUAAUUUAAAGUGUAAUAACUUAAUAUACAGAGAUUUUGUUUUUCUCUUUCCGUCCUUUCAUAGUUACGCAAUUAACUUUUUUAUUAAAACAUAUAGAAAAAAAUUCAGAUAGCUCCGAGUCGUUUACCGAUUUUUCGCUUUAGUUAACUCUAUCGCUAGUUUAAUAAAAAUGUUAACGGAGGAGAUAAUGAAAAUAAAAAAAUAUCAAUAGAAUACUAAAAUGAAACAAAAGAUCGGUACUAAAUUUAAAAAAAAUACUAAACCACAGAAGGGUAUUUGAAUUUUUUUUUUUCUUUCUUUAAGUUGUGAGAU